CCUACGGGAGGCAGCAGUGGGGGAUAUUGCACAAUGGGGGGAACCCUGAUGCAGCGACGCCGCGUGGGUGAAGAAGCGCCUCGGCGCGUAAAGCUCUGUCAGCAGGGAAGAAAAUGACGGUACCUGAAGAAGAAGCCCCGGCUAACUACGUGCCAGCAGCCGCGGGAAUACGGAGGGGGCAAGCGUUAUCCGGAUUUACUGGGUGUAAAGGGGGCGCAGGCGGCGAUGCAAGCCAGGAGUGAAAGCCCGGGGCCCAACCCCGGGACUGCUCUUGGAACUGCGUGGCUGGAGUGCAGGAGGGGCAGGCGGAAUUCCUGGUGUAGCGGUGAAAUGCGUAGAUAUCAGGAGGAACACCGGUGGCGAAGGCGGCCUGCUGGACUGCAACUGACGUUGAGGCCCGAAAGCGUGGGGAGCAAACAGGAUUAGAUACCCCAGUAGUC
rnacentral:rRNA from 1 species